GUGCCAGCCGCCGCGGUAAUACGUAGGGGGCAAGCGUUGUCCGGAAUUAUUGGGCGUAAAGCGCGCGCAGGCGGUUUUUUAAGUCCGGUGUUUAAGGCCUUGGCUCAACCAGGGUUCGCACGGGAAACUGGGUAACUGGAGUGCAGGAGGGGAAAGUGGAAUCCCACGUGUAGCGGUGAAAUGCGUAGAGAUGUGGAGGAACACCAGUGGCGAAGGCGACUUUCUGGCCUGUAACUGACGCUGAGGCGCGAAAGCGUGGGGAGCAAACAGGAUUAGAUACCCUAGUAGUCC
rnacentral:rRNA from 1 species